GGAUAGGGGUUCUGAGAGGAAGGUCCCCCACAUUGGAACUGAGACACGGUCCAAACUCCUACGGGAGGCAGCAGUGAGGAAUAUUGGUCAAUGGACGAGAGUCUGAACCAGCCAAGUAGCGUGAAGGAUGACUGCCCUAUGGGUUGUAAACUUCUUUUAUACGGGAAUAAAGUGAGCCACGUGUGGCUUUUUGUAUGUACCGUAUGAAUAAGGAUCGGCUAACUCCGUGCCAGCAGCCGCGGUAAUACGGAGGAUCCGAGCGUUAUCCGGAUUUAUUGGGUUUAAAGGGAGCGUAGGCGGGUUGUUAAGUCAGUUGUGAAAGUUUGCGGCUCAACCGUAAAAUUGCAGUUGAUACUGGCGACCUUGAGUGCAACAGAGGUAGGCGGAAUUCGUGGUGUAGCGGUGAAAUGCUUAGAUAUCACGAAGAACUCCGAUUGCGAAGGCAGCUUACUGGAUUGUAACUGACGCUGAUGCUCGAAAGUGUGGGUAUCAAACAGGAUUAGAUACCCUGGUAGUCCACACAGUAAACGAUGAAUACUCGCUGUUGGCGAUAUACGGUCAGCGGCCAAGCGAAAGCAUUAAGUAUUCCACCUGGGGAGUACGCCGGCAACGGUGAAACUCAAAGGAAUUGACGGGGGCCCGCACAAGCGGAGGAACAUGUGGUUUAAUUCGAUGAUACGCGAGGAACCUUACCCGGGCUUAAAUUGCAACUGACUGAACCGGAAACGGUUCUUUCUUCGGACAGUUGUGAAGGUGCUGCAUGGUUGUCGUCAGCUCGUGCCGUGAGGUGUCGGCUUAAGUGCCAUAACGAGCGCAACCCUUAUCGAUAGUUACUAGCAGGUCAUGCUGAGGACUCUAUUGAGACUGCCGUCGUAAGAUGUGAGGAAGGUGGGGAUGACGUCAAAUCAGCACGGCCCUUACGUCCGGGGCUACACACGUGUUACAAUGGGGGGUACAGAAGGCAGCUACACGGCGACGUGGUGCUAAUCCCGAAAGCCUCUCUCAGUUCGGAUUGGAGUCUGCAACCCGACUCCAUGAAGCUGGAUUCGCUAGUAAUCGCGCAUCAGCCACGGCGCGGUGAAUACGUUCCCGGGCCUUGUACACACCGCCCGUCAAGCCAUGAAAGCCGGGGGUACCUGAAGUACGUAACCGCGAGGAGCGUCCUAGGGUAAAACUGGUGAUUGGGGCUAAGUCGUAACAAGGUAGCCGUACCGGAAGGUGCGGCUG
rnacentral:rRNA from 1 species